ACGGUCUUGCUGUCACUUAUAGAUGGAUCCGCGCUGCAUUAGCUAGUUGGUAAGGUAACGGCUUACCAAGGCAACGAUGCAUAGCCGACCUGAGAGGGUGAUCGGCCACACUGGAACUGAGACACGGUCCAGACUCCUACGGGAGGCAGCAGUAGGGAAUCUUCCGCAAUGGGCGAAAGCCUGACGGAGCAACGCCGCGUGAGUGAUGAAGGUCUUCGGAUCGUAAAACUCUGUUAUUAGGGAAGAACAUAUGUGUAAGUAACUGUGCACAUCUUGACGGUACCUAAUCAGAAAGCCACGGCUAACUACGUGCCAGCAGCCGCGGUAAUACGUAGGUGGCAAGCGUUAUCCGGAAUUAUUGGGCGUAAAGCGCGCGUAGGCGGUUUUUUAAGUCUGAUGUGAAAGCCCACGGCUCAACCGUGGAGGGUCAUUGGAAACUGGAAAACUUGAGUGCAGAAGAGGAAAGUGGAAUUCCAUGUGUAGCGGUGAAAUGCGCAGAGAUAUGGAGGAACACCAGUGGCGAAGGCGACUUUCUGGUCUGUAACUGACGCUGAUGUGCGAAAGCGUGGGGAUCAAACAGGAUUAGAUACCCUGGUAGUCCACGCCGUAAACGAUGAGUGC
rnacentral:rRNA from 1 species